GGCGAGGAGGGAACGUCAAGGUAGAGUUAGCAAGCUAACGUUAGCCAACUAACACCGGCUAGCUGGCUUGUUGGUUCCUCCGUGCUUUUAUGGUGCAUCGGUUACAGAGAAUGGGCUGAACAGCGGGCUGGGUCUAACGUUAGCGGUCCGCUGACCCACUGCCGCUGGGUCUAACUUUAGCGGGCUUUAUAUCUUUGGCUG